GUCCACACACCCGAUGGCCGGCCCGGGGUGGACGCUGCUGCUACUGCUGCUGCUGCUGCUGCUGCUGGGGUCCAUGGCAGGGUAUGGGCCACAGAAGAAGUUGAACCUGUCCCAUAAGCCCCGGGCCCCCAGCACUGACCUGCCAGAACCACGGCAGUCUGGGUUUGUUCCAGAAACUUCUCAGGAAACCCAAGUUUGAAGGAUGGUGACACAGGGGAGCCAAGGAGAGGGCAGGCCUUUCCUGAGUGCUGAGUCUGCAGGCCCUGCCCAGGAACAGGUGAGCGAGCUGGUGAGUGGUGUUUCAGGGCAUCGGGGAGCCAUGCAGGAGACACGAGGAGUGCCAGAGCAACUGCUGUACCAUCAACAGCCUGGCCCCACACACGCUCUGCACCCCUAAGACCAUCUUCCUGCAGUGCCUGCCCUGGAGGAAGGUGAGCCCAAUGGGUACAGAUGCUCGCACGACUCAGAGUGCCAGAGCAGCUGCUGCGUCCGCAACAACAGCCCGCAGGAGUUGUGCACGCCCCAAAGCGUCUUCCUGCAGUGUGUGCCCUGGCGCAAGCCCAACGGCGACUUCUGCAGCAGCCAUCAGGAGUGUCACAGCCAGUGCUGCAUCCAGCUGAGGGAGUACAGCCCCUUCCGCUGCAUUCCCCGGACCGGGAUCCUGGCCCAGUGCCUGCCCCUGGUAAGUCCCGGGCGGGGGCUCAGCCUCCAGGCCCUCCCUUGGCCGCCACAGGGAAGUCGCACAGAAACACAGCAACUGGACCGGGACCGCGGCUGUGAGAGGUGGGCUCUGAGCACCCAGGCACCCCUGCUGGGAGAGGCCGGCGCUUCACCGCCCAUCUCAUAAGGUGGGGGCCGCAGAGAAGGCUCCUGGGCUGGCACUGAGCCCACCAGGCCCCGCAGGGCACGGGUGCCCGGUCA
rnacentral:lncRNA from 1 species